AUUUGAAUGAUGACUCUUAAAAUGUUGGAAUCCCCUUCACUCUUACUAUGAGUGAAAAUAAUAGUCUGACAAAU